GGCUGGUCCAAAGGAAGUGAAUUAUCUCACUUGAUUGUUCAGAGUCAGUUACAGAUUGAACUCCUUGUUCUACUACUUUCCUCCCUCCUAUCUAUUGCACUUGACUGAUCUUAA
ensembl:misc_RNA Y_RNA Y RNA